AUGCAUGCAUAGGUGUCGUACCCUAUGAAGUUAAAACUGAGGGGCGACUAUUGCUAGUUGAAAACUUUUCCCAAUACUUACUAAUUUUGAUCUGACCAAUGUUUUGUACAGUGUUAACU
rnacentral:snRNA from 1 species